UCCUACGGGGGGCAGCAGUGAGGAAUAUUGGUCAAUGGGCGCGAGCCUGAACCAGCCAAGUCGCGUGAGGGAUGACGGCCCUACGGGUUGUAAACCUCUUUUGUCGGGGAGCAAAUUCCGCCACGUGUGGCGGAGUCGAGAGUACCCGAAGAAAAAGCAUCGGCUAACUCCGUGCCAGCAGCCGCGGUAAUACGGAGGAUGCGAGCGUUAUCCGGAUUUAUUGGGUUUAAAGGGUGCGCAGGCGGCCUGUUAAGUCAGCGGUAAAAGCCCGGGGCUCAACCCCGGCGAGCCGUUGAAACUGGCGG
rnacentral:rRNA from 1 species